rnacentral:rRNA from 1 species
UAAGACAGAGGUCCCGAGCGUUAGGCGGAAUCACUGGGCUUAAAGCGUGUGUAGGCGGAUGCCUAAGUACCUUGUGAAAUCCCACGGCUCACCCGUGGAACUGCUUGGUAUACUGGGUGUCUUGAGCCACUUAGGGGCUACCGGAACAAAUGGUGGAGCGGUGAAAUGCGUAGAUAUCAUUUGGAACGCCAAUGGUGAAAACAGGUAGCUGGGAGUGUGCUGACGCUGAGACACGAAAGCCAGGGGAGCAAACGGGAUUAGAUACCCCGGUAGUCCUGGCCCUAAACGAUGAAUGCUUGGUGUGGCGGGUAUCGAUCCCUGCCGUGCCGAAGCUAACGCAUUAAGCAUUCCGCCUGGGGAGUACGGUCGCAAGGCUG